CGCUGCUAUGCCUCUCUCUCUCGCGCGCGCUCGCUCGCUCUUAUGAAGCGCGGCGGGCCCCGUGCUCCGGCCAUGUCCGUGCCGGAAGCGGAGGGGAACACGGAGCUGGAGGGGGAGCAUCAGUGGGUGAUCCUGGCGUGCAUUCCGCACGUGGUCCCGGAGGAUGAGCACGACAUCACCCUCCUGCGCGCGUACCCGCCGCAGUCUUCUCGCCUCAUCGUGCCCCGGCGCAUCGCCCCCGACCCCAAAGACAUCGAGAACCACCCCUACGUCGUCGCCGUCGGCACCCACGGCCGCUUCCUCCUCUACGCCACCCAGGGGCAGGGAUCCCAACCCGCGGAGCCGCACGUCUUCGAUGGCUUCCACAGCGAGCCGCUCCGCGCCCACGGCGGCUACCCCAAGGCUUACUUCCUCUGCGAUCUGAGCACCCGCGCGGCCACCCGCCUCCCCGACCCCGAUAUCCCCAUCCUCAACCCCGGCAACGUCGGCCUCCUCGUCCUCCGAGGGGGUCGCAUUGCCGCUGUCGUUUCCAUGGUUGUCGAGCUCCAGCCUACGGCCGGAACCGACCGCGCCGCCCUCCUCUGCUAUCUGUCGUUGACCAACCGUUGGUCCGUGAGGCCCGCCAACUACCCUCCUGCUGACCGGCCGUGGGGCGGCCACGGCGUAAUCUUCGACGGGCCGGACCUCAUAUGGGUCGAUCUCUCCUACGGGCUACUCCACCUGUCCUGCUACGAGUCGCUCUUAAGCGACCCGCCCCCACGACUGCUCUUCAUCCCGCUCCCGGACGGCUGCGAGCUGCCGGCCGGCACGGAGGACCUCGACAAGAAGCGCUGCGUGGGGUGGAGCGGCGACCGUCUGCGGUACGUGCAGAUCCACCUGCGCGCCGACGGCGAGCCAAUCGUCAGCAGGUGGACGUGGAUCCCGCUGGUCGAUGGGGACACCGGGUCGUGGCGUCACGACGGCGACAUCUCAUUCCAGGUGAUCUGGGCUGACAAGGGGUACAGAGCUAUGAAGCUGCGGCCGAAGGAAAUCCCCGCCGUCGCCUGCAUCGACCCAGGGGGCCACGGCGAAUCGGUCUGGUUCUUCCAGCGCUCCCGACUCUUCCGUGUGAACAUGGCGACGGGCAAGGUCAUGCGGUCCAUCUUCUUCAAGAUGAACAACCCGCCGAGUCGUUACCACUCGUCUCGAUUCAUCCGUCUUUGGAAGCUCACAAAGGAGCUUUACGAUGGUGCUGGGUUCCAAUGAUCAGGAGGGUUCUUUGCUUCGAUGAUUCGUCGGCAAGACCUGAAAUUAGGGAAUCUCUGUCUUGGCGUCUCCAGUAUCCAUGGUUUUCUCGAUACCUGAAGUUGACUCGAGCUCCUCGUCUUGCGCCGCUGCGUCGCCACCAGCGGCUUCAUGACUGCCUUCUCUGCAUCGAUGGUCCUAGUUGCUCCUCGCCCCCAAACUCCACUGACCAAGGAAUGUACCCGUCGAACGUCGAUGUGUUCUCCUCGUCGGUCAUAAUAACUGUAGAUAAGUCGAUGACAUGAUUCUGCGAGGUUACCUGGUGCAAUUUAUCUUAUCCAAGCAAAACGGAUCAUAAGAAGUUGAGUUUCUUUUCACAAAGGUUGGCGUAUUUUA